AGAGAGAAAUCAGUCAGUGCCACUUUAAUGAAAACAUUCCUGUUGUGAAGAUGCAACAUACUUUAAUUAUAGUGGAAGCUUUUUUGCUUCCUGUGCAUUAACAACACAUUUCAGAGGAGGUUCACGAGAAUGAUCACAGAAAUGAAAGGGUUAAUGUACAAGGAGCAUUUGAUGGCUCUGGGCCUGUACUCACUGGAAUUUAGAAGAAUGGGGGGGGGGGUGGGUGGGAGAUCUCAUUGAAUUCUACUGAAUACUGAAAGGCUAGAGAGAGUCCAUGUGGAGAAGAUGUUUCCAAUAGUGCAGGACUCUAAGACCAGAGGGCAUAGAUUCAGAAUAGAAAGAUGUUGUUUUAGACAAAAAUGGGAAGGAAUUUCUUUAGGCAGAGGAUGGUGAAUCUGAGGAAUUCAUUGCCACAGACAAACCAUUGAGUAUAUUUAAAGUGGAGGUUGAAAGGUUCUUGAUGAGUUAGAGCAUCAAAUGUUACCAGAAUGGGAUUUAAAAGGACAAUAAAUCAGCCAUGAUUGAAUGGCUGAUAGGCUGAACAGCCUAGUUCUACUCCAAUGUCUUACGAUCUUCCCACCUGUGAUACCAGAUGAGUUCAGUGCCAUUUGUACAAUGACAAACUUACAUCAGCAUUACAGGCAACAGUAUUAGAGACACAGCAUUCACAACAAAAACAUCAAUUAAACAAGAGAUUCUGCGAUGCUGGUAAUCUCGAACAACGCAUAAAAUGCUGGAGGAAUUCAACAGGUCAGGCAGCAUCUAUGGAAGGGAAUAAGCAGUCGACAUUUUGGGUGAAGACCUUUCAUUAGGACUGGAGAGGAAUGAGGAAGAAGCCAGAGAUUAAAUAUAAAUCAUAUAUAAUAAUACUACAAGAGCAGAAUUUGAACAGCAAAAAAUAGUCCAUUGUAGUGUGAAAUGAUCAUGGUUGCUGUAGUGAAGUAGUGACCAACUUUGUGUAAGUUUGUUCAAGAGCCAAAUGGUUAAAGUAGCUGCUCUUGAAACUGGUGGGGUGGGACUUCAGGCUUCUGUGCCUCUUGCCCAAUGGUAGCAGUGAGAAGGUGGCAUGGCCUGGACGAUGGGGUUCUCUGGUGAUAGAUGUUGCCUGCUUGACGCAGAGCCCACUACUCUCUACAGCUUCCUGUGUUUCUCCGUGUUUGAAUUGUUGUACCAGACCAUGAUGCAACUAGACAAGAUGCUUUCAACAGCCCGUCAGUGGAAGCUAACUGGAGUAUUCAGUGACAUACCAAAUGUCUUUAACCCUUGAAGAAAGUAAAGGCAGUGGUGUGUUUCUUUGUGAUUGCAUCAGUAUGUUGGACCCAGGUCAGGUUAUCUGAUAUAUUAAUACCCAGGAAUUUAAAGCUGUUGACUCUCUCACCACUGAUCCACCAAUGUAGACUGGCACAUGUCCAGCCCCUUCCUCUUCCAAAAGUCAAUGACCAGUUUAAAUUAAUUUUUUUUUUUACUGAUGUUGAAUGUGAGCUUGUUGUUGCAGAAACAUUCAACCAUCAGCAUGCUCCAUGCAGAAAUGCCACAGAUCUACCACAUUCAGAGAGUUACUCUGACCUUAUGGUCAGCACCUUCAUAGACAGUGGCACCCUGAUCAUGAAAUUCUAGUCCAGUUUCCUCCCACAGUCCAAAGACCUACCAGUUCAAAGUAAAUUUAUUAUCAAAGUACUUAUCUGUCAUCGUAUACAAUCCUGAGAUUCAUUUUCUUUUUACAUAGUCAGUCCAAGAAACACAACAGAAUCAUUGAAAGACUGCACCCAACAGGACAAGCAAACAACCAAAAGACAACAUACUGUGCAAAUACAAAAAAAAGGAAUAAAUAUCGAGAACAUGAGAUGAAGAAGCCUUGAAGGUCAUAGGACAGUCUCAAAUACAAAAGGAACACGAACAGUGAUUUAAAACCAAAAAUCCUGGGAGAUAUUCAGCAGGCCAAGCAGUAGCCGUGGCGAGAGAAACAGAUCUAUAUUCUACGAGUCUCUGCUGCCAUCACUUCUCCAGUGGUCCUGCAAAGAGUCACAGAUUCUGGCUCUGGCCAUCCAGCCACGACUUCUUUGGGCUUUGAUCUGGAUUUCCAAUCAACAGGUUCUCCACUCAGGUUGUUAUAAAAACCAGAGUUGUUCCCCUGGCACAAUUAUAUAGUUCAUUCCGGGCUGUGCCUAUACAAGUCCUUUCACUGUGUGAUACACCGAUCAUGAACUAACAAGUGUUUCAGAGAAGUUAAGGAUACUCAGAACAACAAAGGACAAAGCAGAACUUUAAAAUAUAUCGCCUACAUUAAAUUCCGAGGAGCAGCCUUUCAUGAAGAGACUGAAAGAUGUGAAAUGACAUUUUGACAUUGGAAGUCCCAGACUCUGGGAGCACAGCAUGGUCUUGAAAACAUGUCUAUUUUACAGAGUUUGGAUUGAAUUACAAUUAGAAUGUAUUAAAGCUGCAGAACAGAAACGUAAAUAUCUUUAUACAACACCAUCAGCUAAUCACUGCAAAGUAACUAGACCCUUUAGCAGUUAUGUCUAAUAAAUUUACGUUGUCUUGUAAUUAACACUGGGAAACUGAGUUUAGUUUUCAGAGUAAUUCUCAGCCUAAUCCGAUUACACUGCAAGGUUUCAGAGAUUAUCAGUGUGGAAGAACUGCAUCAGUGAUUAAGAACAUUAUAAUGCAAAAUGAAGCUUGCUGGAUUCAAGAAGAAACACAAGUAUAUUGUGGAGAAACUAUACAGUGCUCCACAAGACCAAUUGUGAAAACACUGACUGUAUUCAGUAGGCAUAACUCCACACUAUAAAUAUACAAUCUACUAAAAAGGUGGGUCAGAUUUUGUUACACACAGUAAACACAAGAGAGUUUGCAGGUGCUGGAAAUCCAGAGCAGGAAUUCAGCAGGUCAGGCAACAUUCACUGAGGGAAAUAAACAGUCGAUGUUUUGGGCUGAGAUCCUCCAUCAGGACUGGAAAGGAAGGGGCAAAAGCCAGAAGAAGGUGGAGGGAGGGAAAGACAACAAGCUGGCAGGUCAAAGGUGAUGAUUUUGCUGCUUUGUAUCAGGAUUUUGUAUAUUCUCCCUUCAAUUGUGUGGGUUUCCUACGGGUGCCCCAUGUUUGGCACACAUUCCAAAUACAUAUGGGGUAUGGCUAUUAAGUUGUGGGCAUACUUUAUCAUCACCAGUACUGUGCUGAC